rnacentral:lncRNA from 1 species
AUAUUCCGGGAUUUAUAAAAAUAUUUCGGUAGUUGUUGGGAGAAAUUUUACUACAGGUUACCUCCGUAAAUUAGUUAAAAGUAGUGAGUCAGCUUACAAAACAUAUGGAAGUUUUGUAUUAAACCACGUAUCAAUACGCUUUCUAUAUUGUUUGGCCACGUACCCAGCCACUUUACUCACCUCUCCAUUUCUUUAUUUGAACAUCUCUCUCUUAAUACUCACAAUCUCCUCCCGUCCCCUGCACCAUCCUUCAAGCUUCUGCCAGAAUCUCUUCACCCACCCUUCUGCUUUCAUUCCUCACCGCUGAACUCGUCUCCACGGCCCCGUUUUCUCGCCGCCGUGUUCACCGGAAUCAUCAGCCGCCGCGCCUCCCGACGAAGCGCCGAUGUUCUUGUUUUUCUGAUCCCCCUGCACCUGUUCUUGAAGUCAGGCACCGUCUCUUAUUUCUUUGGCUGAUUGACUCUAUUUCCUGAUCAGCAGUGCACCUUAUUUCGUAUUGUUCUGAUUUAGGUACCUCUUGGAUUACUCAUAUCUCAGUUAUGUAUGUAUAUAUAUGUGUAAAUUGCUUGUUUUGUGUGAUAGUGAAAUCAGUAGAUUUAUUUCAAGUUACUUAUUUAUACAAGUAAUUGCAGUUAUUUGGGUUGUGCUGUUGUCAAUUUCUAGCUAAUAUUUGGGAUUUAAGGAUGUUAGCUGGGCUGAAAUCAGUUGAAUAUUAACUGUCUAAUCAGCCUAUAGAGAUGAGUAUUUGAUUAGUUGAAGCAUAUAAAUACAUAGGCGGAAUCAUGUUAAUUCUAUUUAAAAGGGUUGUGAGUAAUUAAGUAAUUUCAGAAUUCUAAAUUAUGUGGGAUUGCUUGUCCUUAAGUGCCUACUUGUAUAUGUUUAUAUGUUAAUAAAUAUUAAGUUGAAAGUUUUGGUUGUUGUUGUUCUGUGUUGCAGCAUAAUUCUGCAUUACUUGAGUUAUGUGCUUAAUCAUUCUGGGAUAAUGUGCUACUUGAAGCCUAGAUCAAGUAGGAAAAAGAAUUUCAAGGUUUCAUUAAACGAGCUAAAAGAUAUGUGUGUUUCAGUGUGAAUUGAGCAGAAAAUUCUGGGCAGGUGUGUCCUAUUCCAGGCCCUGUUUUGCUACUUUAAACUCGAGAUUUGCUUCUGAAAUUUUAACUGGAGUUAGAUGUUGGGAUCAAGAAUGUGUCAUUAAAAUUUUAUGUAAACAGACCAAUUUUUCUAUUUAUUAAAAUUCUUAGCGUGGGGCUGGUUCUGCAGGACAUAUUCAGAUUCCUGACUUGCAGGCCCCGUUUUACUCCCUUAAACAUGGAAUUUGCUUCUGAAAUUUUUAUAGUAGAUUGGAAUAAUAUUUAGGAGUGUCUCAUAAAAAUUUUGUAUUAAAAAGAUAAAUUUUCAAUUUAUUAAAAAUCAUAGAGUGAGGGCUGUUUGAACUAUUUGUUCUAGUUUUCUUUCUUUGAUUAGUGCAUAGGAGGAGGUUAUACUUGGUUGAUCAGUGUUAAUCAUGUUUAAUAGUGAUAUAUGAUUUCAAAUCUAGCUAUGUAAGUGUGCAUACUGUGAUAUUGUGUUUUAAUUGAUAUCGGUCCAUUACUUAUUGGUUUAUUGAGUUGGUUACUUGUUGAAUAAUAUAAGAAAACAGGUGAAUAGGCUGAUAAAUAGAGGAAGUGCUGUCGAAUUUUCGUUAGAAACUAUAUAUGUUUUACUUGUUAAAGGAUAUUAAAUAGAUAAGAAUAAGGUGACAUGGUUAACUGAAACAUGUUAUAUGAUAACUUAUCAAUAUUGACUUUUAAUAACUAUAAAAGUUAAUUGUUCAACUAUGUGCUAUGUGUUUGUCUGACUAUGUGGUAUGUAUAUGCGAAGGGUAGAUAUAUGAUAGGUAUUAAUGCUUUUCGAGCUUAGUUAAUCCGUCUGAUCCGACGACUGAAAUACUAUUUUGCCAUCGUAUAGAAUUGAACGAGACGUUGAUCGAGAAGUGAUUGAAAUGGGUAUUCAAAAAUAGCCAAGUUGUGUUGCAAGUUGAAGUUAGGCAGAGAUUGCUAUAGAUAGAAUCUUGUCAGAAGCUGGCAGAAAGGAAUGAUAUGGCACUACAUAGUGUUAUUAGAAAUCUGAGCUAGACACCGGAGUUAAGGCAAGUAUAUAUCCAACCUACUUUCUCUUUAAAUGAUUUUGCUCCUGCAAUGCUUUUGUUAUGCUUUGAAUAUUGCAAAACUCCUUAUAGAAUUAGACUUCUACUAAUUACGAGUAUUCUGGAAUUACCCAAGUAUGAAAUGGAAUACCUUUUGUCACUUAUAUCUUGCAAAUGUAUCAACUUAAUUAUCAUCCUUAUCUUCUUCAACUGCUAGUUACUUAUUAUUGAGCUUAGAACCUUGUUUUCUUACCUCCCUUUUAACUACAACAAAUUGUGUUCUUGCUUAUAAAAAAACUAGUUCACUUGUUUGUUCCUGACCCAGAAAUGAAACCCAUUUCCUGAAAGACCUUAGUUAUCAUCAUACAACCUACCCCGCCAUUAUUAUAAAAUACAUUGAUACACUUGAUUCAGUAACCUAUACCCUUGAUAAAGAAUACUUAAUUAGUAGAAAUCUAAUGCUAAGGUGUUGAAAUGAAUAUUUGGUUGAGAAUCAAUGUUGCUUAAAGAUUUUGAACCUUGGUCUUAAAAUGAAAAAUGAUUUGAUUUAUUUGGUUUAGAAAGGGAAUUGGAUGAAAAUGUUUUAUGACCGAGGCGCCGGUCCCAAUUGAAUUAUUAAAGGCCAAAGUGUGCCUAGGAUCCUUUAUAUUUGAGAACUCGUAUUGAAUAUGCGGGUUCGGAGCUAUGUCGUGGGCUGAUCACCCAGCUUAGCUCGUAGCGUCUUAUCUGGUUCCAAUUCCAUAAAGGAGAAACUGUUUUGUUUAAAUCAUAUUGUGUUGGUAUCAUUAUCUUUAUAUCAUUGUCAGGUUUUACAUACUGUUUGAUUUAUUGUUGGUUUGGAUAUUAUAUACUUGCUGAGCAUUCUUUUGCUCAUUCUUGCUAUUUCUUCUAACCCCUUUCAGAUAAUGUUAAAGAUGGUUCGCCUAUUUAGGCUAAGCAUAAGAGUAAGGCUAGGCGAGGAUUGCAAGUGACUAAGUUUCAACCUGAUGGUCAGGAAGAGUAUCCAAGAUCGAGUCUUUGGGACUAGUGGUAAUUAGAGUUGUCUAAAUUUGAUUUAGUUGUAAAAACAUGUAAUAGGAUUUAUUAGUUUUACUUUUCUGAUUUCAAUACUAUAGCCUGUUUGCGAUCCUGUUUUAAAGGGGGUUAAACUUUGUUCUUUUAAAUCUUUUAUUAAAGCUUUUAGGUUUUCAAUUCUUUGAUUUUUAUUAGUUUUUCAACAAUACAUGUUUCAAAAGUGUAAAUCAAAUUUUUUUAAUAUCCAGGUUUGAAAUACUUGUUUUUACUUUCUUUAGAAAAAUAAAUACAGGUUUUCAAUUGUUAUUCUUUUAGUGGCACCAAAUCCAGACCCCCGGAUUUGAGGGCUGUCACAGUUGGUAUCAGAGCAACAGGUUAUAAGUUAUUGAAAUUAGAAUAUAGGUUGUUAUAAGUUUAGUAUUAGGAGAAUGUUAUGUGCCCUCACAUAGAGGUAUUGUGAGAUUAUUUUGAAAUAGUCUAGAGAUUUGACAUGAACAG